UUGCUCACUUCGGCAGCACAUAUACUAAAAUUAAGAUGAUACAGAGAAGAUUAGCAUGUCCUCUUUGCAAAGAUGAAAAGUGUGUGUGUGUAAAUAAAAUGAAACUU